ACACUAAAAAGCAUAGGCAAACAUCUCCAACAAAAAAAUGUACUAAAAUUUGUGAUAUUUUUUGUACUGCAUGGAUCUACAUAUGUGGAGCUGAACAAAAUUUGUUUUGUAAUUUUUAGAUUUUUCUAUGAAUUACUACACACUUAUCAAUUUCUAGACGAUUUAAAGAAUAAAAGAAAAGUAAACUAAUAGGACAAACACUUUGCACUUAGGCCCCUGUACUUUCUUUAUUCUCAACAUGCUUUGAUAUGUACAGAAGAUAUUACAUUGGGAACUCAAGAAAAGCUUCUAUUUUGUAUUUUUAGGUAUAGAUAAAAAAAGAUGGAAGAAAAUAGUAGAAAGAAAAAGUCAUGUACAUACCACACGCAUGGAAGUGGAAACAGAAAAAGAAAAAAAAUCGGGAAAGGCCGAUGAGAACGUCUUUCAUAGAUAAAAAUGAGAUCGGGAAUUUUUUUUAGCUGAUGACAAAGACUGAGUCAAUUUAUGAUUAUAGGUUGGAUGAAAAUUUAAGAUAGACUAAAAUUUUAGUUUUUUAUUAUU
rnacentral:lncRNA from 1 species